CCCUUAGAUGUUCUGGGCGGCCCGCGCACUACAUUGGCACUCUCAAUAAGUUCCUAGAUCUAAAACUUUGGGGUAUUCUAUUAAGUGGUGUCGUGACUGGGAUUAACCCUUGCAAUUAUUGGUUACGAACGAGGAAUUGCUUGUAAUCGCGGUUUAUCAGCCCGCGUUGAAUGCGUCCCUGCCCUUUGUACACACCGCCCGUCGCUCCUACCGAUGAAUCGUCCGGUGAAGUUCAUGGAGUGGUGGUUGUUCCAGCUGCUGUCGAAGUGAAAUGGACCUCACGAUUUAGAGGAAGGAGAAGUCGUAACA
rnacentral:rRNA from 1 species